AACAGAUGAUUUUGAACAGUUUGAUGCAUGUAACACUAACAUUCAAAUGUUUGGAGGCUAUGUAACAACGAAUCCAACAAAAAAAAAUUCAGCACGUCUGUAUUUUAACAUUGAUCAUAAUCAGAAAUGUUUCUUGAGCAGUAAAUCAUCAUAUUAGAAUGAUUUUUGAAGAUGUGACACUGAAGACUGGAGUAAUGAUGCUGAAAAUUCAGCUUUGAUCAAAGGAAUAAAUGACAUUUUAACAUAAUAUUCACAUAGAAAAGAGUUGUUUUGAAUUGUAAUAGUCACAGUGUUACUAUUUUACUGUAAUUUGAUUCAAUAAAUGGAGCCGUGGUGAGCAUAAGAGAUUUUUUAUAAAGGCAUAAAAUAUCUUACAGACCCCAAACUCUUGAAUGGUUGUGUAAAUUACAGUUAUGAUGUUCCUCCCAGUUAAAUUUUAUUAAAAUGUAUUAAAUGUUACUCUGGCAUAUGCAGUCCAUUCUAUAGAGACUGUGUCUGUUCCCCAAAAACAGACAACAAAUAAUAUGUUUAUUAAGGGAUCUAGAAAAAUUAUUUCAGUUUAAACCUACUAGAUUAAAAAUAGUACUCAAUGUACUCCGUUGAUGAAAUAGUAAAAAGUGCACAUUGCCUGAAAUGAUAUGAACAGCAGCUAUGCUAAUCUUUCUCCCUUUGCCUUCCUGUUUCUGCAAAUGUCCAUCCCAGGGUUAUUAGAAACUGCACAGCACAGGACUUGCAGGACUUGUGAGGACUUCAGAUGAUACCAGUACUCAAAAGACCUUAGAUGAUGGCAACUAUAGAUGGACAUACAAACUACCGCCACUGCAAAAAAGAUUCUAAUUUGAAAGAAGUUUAUAAUGCAUGUUCACUACUCCCAAUUCAGAAGACUGAAUCAGCCUGUGUAUCUGAAUGUUUCUCAUACUCACUCCUCUCUGCCGCGUCUGAAUUUGGGAUUUUCCCUAGCUGUCAGUUAUAAACGUCAAAAUUAAAAUAAAUAAACAUUUGAAAUAUAUCAGUCUGUGUGUAAUGAAUAAAUAUAAUAUACAAGUUUCACUUUUUGAAUGGAAUUAGUGAAAUAAAUCAACUUUUUGAUGAUAUUCUAAUUAUAUGACCAGCACCUGUAUAUCAUUGCUCUUUUGUUGAUUUUGAUUGCUUCCAUUGUCCUCAUUUGUAAGUUGCUUUGGAUAAAAGUGUCUGCUAAAUGUAAAUGUAAUGUUAAUGUGUAUUUAACUAUAUUUAUAAAUAUUUAUCUGUAUUUUUUAUUUUGUAAUAAUGUAAAUGUAUUUGUUUUAUAUCUAUACAUGCAGUUGUAUUCAUGUAUGUAUAUUUAUUUGUCUAAUUUUUAUAUUUUAAUAAAGC
rnacentral:lncRNA from 1 species